GCUUAAAGGGGCCGUAGCUUGGUUGUUAAGUCUCUUGGGAAACCUGUCGGCUUAACCGACAGGCGUUUAAGGGAUACUGGCAAUCUAGGGACCGGGAGAGGUGAGAGGUACUCCAGGGGUAGGAGUGAAAUCCUGUAAUCCUUGGGGGACCACCUGUGGCGUAGGCGUCUCACCAGAACGGCUCCGACAGUGAGGGACGAAAGCUGGGGGAGCAAACCGGAUUAGAUACCCGGGUAGUCCCAGCCGUAAACGAUGCGCGUUAGGUGUAUCGGUGACCACGAGUCACCGAGGUGCCGAAGGGAAACCGUGAAACGUGCCGCCUGGGAAGUACGGUCGCAAGGCUGAAACUUAAAGGAAUUGGCGGGGGAGCACCACAACAGGUGGAGCCUGCGGUUUAAUCGGACUCAACGCCGGAAACCUCACCGGAUAAGACAGCGGGAUGAUAGCCAGGCUGAAGACUUUGCUUGACUAGCUGAGAGGAGGUGCAUGGCCGUCGUCAGUUCGUACUGUGAAGCAUCCUGUUAAGUCAGGCAACGAGCGAGACCCACGCCAACAGUUGCUAGCAUGUCCUUCGGGAUGAUGAGGACACUGUUGGGACCGCCUCUGCUAAAGAGGAGGAAGGAAUGGGCAACGGUAGGUCAGCAUGCCCCGAAUUAUCCGGGCUACACGCGGGCUACAAUGGGCAGGACAAUGGGUAUCGACACCGAAAGGUGAAGGCAAUCUCUUAAACCUGUCCGUAGUUCGGAUUGCGGGUUGCAACUCGCCCGCAUGAAGCUGGAAUCUGUAGUAAUCGCGUCUCAAAAUGGCGCGGUGAAUAUGUCCCUGCUCCUUGCACACACCGCCCGU
rnacentral:rRNA from 1 species